AGGACCAAUGUUCCCUCUAAGCUGCGCGCGUGCGCAAUCGCGCACUGCCCGCACAUUCUCAGCGCACAAGAAAAUCUAUCCAGCGCAUAAACAACAUCAACAUAACGUAUUAAUUCAUAUCUAAUAUUAGACCUAAUCUAAUCUAAUUAAUUCGCCCAAUAAUAUUGUUUUUUUGUUUCUCACUCAGUGAGUGACAGGUGUCCAGCCAAUGAUACGAUACGGUUCACUUACGGUACGAAGCCAAUCAUGGCAUUGACGGUGCUUGCGUCUGGGCCCUGCCUAUAUGCGCCGUGCAGGUUAGCUAGCAGGUUAAUAGAUGCUAAUACAAACCCCGCAUCAUGGCGAAACGAACAGGCAGCGACACAUCCACUCAGCAAGCCACAGUAAAAAAGAAAUGCAGUUCUUUUAAGAUGGAAUGGCUGUCGGAGUAUGUGCAAAUUGAAGAAAAAGCGGUGAAAUUGGGUGAGAUUUUUUCUUUUUCAAGUGAGAAAGGUCUACUCUGCAAAACAUGCAGCGAUGCCAAAGUAGCAAGUGAGUUUUCAGAGGGAAAAAUGUGGACUGAAUGGAAGCUGGACUAUCUCAAGCGUCACGUUCAGCAUAAAAGUCAUUUAAAAGCUGUCGAAACUGUACGAAGACUCAAGAUGGGACAGGGGAUUGGUACAUUAUUGCGGGAGAGCGCAAAAGAGCGAGAGAAAAGGAACGAGCUGUCACACAAAACAAAAUCGGACCCUGAACAAGUUAAAGUUCUCAUUGACAAUAUUUUACUUGCCAUCAAAAUGAAUGCAUCAAUUCUGUCAGUUCAACAAAUCCACGAUCACAUGGCAAAGUAUGUGAGUAUACCAGAAAGCUGGCGAAGCAAAAACUAUGCCUUUGAAUUUGUGAACUCAAUCAAUGAGAUAGUGCAGAAUGAGACUAUGUGCAGUAUUAAAAAUGCACCCUGGCAUACCCUGAUAGUAGAUGAGAGCACAGACAUAUCAGUACACAAAAUGCUAGUCAUAUAUAUUAAAUACAGGGAGGAAAAUGAUGUUAACUACAAAACUGUGUUUGGUGGCAUCAUCCAGCUGACAGCAUGCACUGCUCAGGAUAUUGUGCAAGGAAUAACUCAGUUUUACUCCAAACAUGGACUGGACAUGCAGAAAAUGGUGAUGCUGACCUCCGAUGGUGCCUCAGUAAUGCUAGGAAAACACAACGGAGUUGCAGCUUUGUUAAAGCGCCAAAUACCACACCUAACUGAACAACAUUGUGUGGCCCACAGAGAGGACUUGGGCAUUGAUCAAUCAGCACAUUCUCAGAUAUGGUUGCUGCAACACUUAGAUGUGAGGAGCUAAAGGAGAUCUCACAGCUUGUGGAUAUUUGUGCUACAUUUCAAGCUUCCAGUGCCGACUGUGAAAGAGGAUUUAGUUUAAUGAAUCAUAUCAAAACAAAAUCCAGAAAUCGUCUUGAAGUGACACAUUUGGACCAGCUGAUGCGCAUAAAGUCAAAGCAAGAAGCAGACGAAGCCAUCAACCUGGACAAAGUGUACAACCAUUGGAGAAGUGAGAAGGACAGACGUGAAAAAUAAGAACAGGACCCUCAGCCAGGCAAAGCAGGACUCUUCCCAUGGCCAAAGCAGGACUCUCACAUACUGUAUAACAUCUACACAUCCCAUUUUUCAGAUUUUUGUCUUUUUUUAAGUGGACCAAAUUACUUAUUUAAAAAUAAAGCGUGCAUAUCUAAUGUUG